rnacentral:rRNA from 2 species
CUUGGUAACCAUAGCGUUUUGGACCCACCUGACCCCAUGCCGAACUCAGUAGUGAAACGAAACAGCGCCGAUGAUAGUGUAGCAUUUGC